rnacentral:rRNA from 1 species
UACGGAGGGUGCGAGCGUUGUCCGGAAUCACUGGGCGUAAAGGGCGCGUAGGCGGCCUGAUAAGUAGGGGGUGAAAUCCUGCGGCUUAACCGCAGGGCUGCCUUCUAAACUGUCGGGCUCGAGCACAGUAGAGGCAGGUGGAAUUCCCGGUGUAGCGGUGGAAUGCGUAGAGAUCGGGAGGAACACCGAUGGCGAAGGCAGUUCUCUGGGCCGUAACUGACGGCUGAGGAGCGAAAGCGUGGGGGAGCAAACAGG